CUCAUCUCCCUCAGCUAGCUCGACCGCCUCUCUCUGGUCUCUAGCGCUGUGGAGCUCCUUCCUACGUGCGCUAGCCGCCAGGUCGUCUUCAACCUCCAUCCGUGGAGCUCGCCUCUGCCAUGGCCGCCCUCUGCCCUCCUCCCUCAAGCCCUAGCUGAGUUUUUCCAUGGUGCCCUGGAUGCCAGCCCCUUUACUCGAUGCCCCUGCUAGGUUCCUGGCAUGUUCGCCCAGACCGAUGCCUAGCUCCCAUGGCCGCCCUGGAUCUCCAUGGUUGAGUUUUCUCCCUGCAGGAUCCCCCCAAAUAGCGCCUGGUCUUUUUCCCUUGGUCGAAAACACCUCUGGUGCUGCCCCUCCCUGGAACUCGCCUCCCGCCUCUGCUUGUCCAUUUCCUGCAGCAACCUGAUGAUCCCUUUUCCUUUCCUCCCAUGUUGAAGCACUUAACCCCCCUCUGUUGAUGGUCGACGUCUCUUCAUCCAUGGUACCUAGGUCUCCAUCCCCAUGCCCCUGCAGCUUGUUCUCAAGCCGCCAACCAUGGUGCGUUGUCCGCCUCGGAGAAACUUCCGGUGUUGGAGGGCGAAGAGCUCGAAGUUCUAAAGGUAACGCCCGCCGGGUGCUUGGUGGAACGUCUCAACCGGAGGUUGUUGUCGAUCUCUCGGAUUCGAGGCGAUUUAGUUGUGGUACGUUAAUUGAUCACGUGAUGUGGAAGACAAUAGUUGGAUUAAUCUCAAAGUGAUGCUGAUGAAUAAACCAGAGAAGUGGAUGAUUUGAUCAUGUACCAGGAUGGGAGAUGCUCACCAAGUGAUCGUCAUCUAACAACACUGACUUAGUGUUAUCCCAGGUUGUAAUUUUUGUUCUGUUGUGGAUGGUGCUAAGUGUCGGUGGGCUCGGCCUUCUUAUAUAAGUAUAUCCCUUCUAUAGUUUCUUUAAUGAGGAUUGUCACUUAAGCUAGCAUGUAUUUCAAAUUUACAAAUAUUCUAUAACAUUUUAAAGUGUAAUUCUUUUGAAACACUUUCUUUUGUAAUCACUCCGAUGAGGUAUAAUAAAAUCUUGAUAAACUUGUAAUCA